GUCAAAACCGAACUCAUUAUGGUGAAGCUAGAAGCUUCGAGCAAAGCAUCAGCAGUCAUUAUAGGGAUAUCAAACAAAGUGACCUAAUGUUCAGUAUAUAAUCAUUUUCAACAUAAGGAGAGAAUUAUAAAUAAAAUGGUUGCACAUUAGCAUUGUUAAACACUGUUUCCUAGACAUCUAAGAUACAUCCAGUAAAUAAAAGCUGUUGCUAAAGUGGCCAUUUCCUAUUUGCUCAGAUAUUGGAACUGGGUUCACACUUGUUAGCCAGCCCCGCCACACAUUUGAAAGAAACACAACACCUGCCCUAGACAAGAAGACAAUGACACAUGGGAUGACAUUUCAAAAGCAACAAAUCCCUUUUAAAAUGCACAUGAACAAGAAACAAGAAAGAGGAUAUUAUGUGUACCCCAAAAGCAAAGAUUAACUUGCGCAUGAUAAAAUUUAAAUUUGCUACCAAUAACUUGAGACUAAAACAUACCAACAUAUUAUUUCUAACAAAUUUAAAAGCUCCAAGUCACAUUAAUUCAAGAUCUUUUUUAGCACUUUUAGUGAAGCUAGCUAUUGAACCAUU
rnacentral:misc_RNA from 1 species